rnacentral:rRNA from 7 species
ACCAUACGACUCUCGGCAACGGAUAUCUCGGCUCUCGCAUCGAUGAAGAACGUAGCGAAAUGCGAUACUUGGUGUGAAUUGCAGAAUCCCGUGAACCAUCGAGUCUUUGAACGCAAGUUGCGCCCGAGGCCUUCCGGCCGAGGGCACGCCUGCCUGGGCGUCACGC